UACAGAGAUCCCGAGCGUUGUUCGGAUUCAUUGGGCGUAAAGGGUGCGUAGGUGGCGCUGUAAGUGGGGUGUGAAAUCCCGGGGCUUAACUCCGGAACUGCAUUCCAUACUGCGGUGCUUGAGGACUGGAGAGGAGACUGGAAUUUACGGUGUAGCAGUGAAAUGCGUAGAUAUCUGGAGGAACACCGGUGGCGAAGGCGGCGUUCUGGACUGUUACUGACACUGAGGAACGAAAGCCAGGGGAGCAAACGGG
rnacentral:rRNA from 1 species